GUGCUUGUUUCAGCAGCACAUAUACUAAAAUUGGAACGAUACAGAGAAGAUUAGCAUGGCUCCUGCACAAGGACGACAGGCAAAUUCGUGAAGCAUUCCAUAUUAAA
ensembl:snRNA U6 U6 spliceosomal RNA